GGUAAAUUCUGCCCUAUGGUUUUCUAAAUGGCUGCAGUAUUUUGACUGUGCAAAGGUAGCAUAGUAAUUAGUUUCUUAAUUAGAAGCUGGUAUGAAUGGAUUAAUGAGAAAGAUAUUUUAUUAAUUUCAUUUUUAUAAAUUAAAUUUUAAGUAAAAAUGCUUAAUUAAUUUCUAGGGACGAUAAGACCCUAUAGAACUUUAUAUAAUAUCAUAUAUUAAUAUAUUUUUAUAAUAAAUAUUAUAUUAAUAUUUAUUAUAAUUUGCUGGGGUGGUAGAUAAAUUUUAACUUUAUAUUUAAAUUUCAAUAAUUAAUGUAAAUAAUGAUCCUUAUGGAAUUUAAGAUUUAGUUACCUUAGGGAUAACAGCGCAAUUUAAGUGGGGAGUUCAUAUCUAUAUUUUAUUUUGCGACCUCGAUGUUGAAUUAAGGAAAGAUUAAGAAGUAGAGUUCUUGUAUCUAAGUCUGUUCGACUU
rnacentral:rRNA from 1 species